GUUGAUAGUAGAAUAGGAGCACAGUUACUAGAGAGUAUUAUUUUCAUUAUCGAUUCUGUUCUACCCUUGAUCCGCAAGCUUCCUUUUAGUGUCACAGAAGAUCUGGAGCAAGAUCUAAAGCAUAUGAUUGUUCGGCAUUCAUUUCUAACGGUUGUUCAUGCAUGCGUUAGUUGUUACUCUUUGUAAGAGAUUCAAAGACAGAGUUUUGGAGCUUAAGGAUCCGAUAAGAGGGGUGGCGCCACUGGUGUCAGCUGUUCGCAAGGUUCAGGUCUCUGCUAAUUGUUCGACUGUAUUGCAUCCGGAUUGUCUUCAGCUAUGUCUCCAGGCCAAGUGCUACAAAGCUGGUUAUGAUGGAAUGAAUGGCAUUGGACUGAAGAGAUUCCAGAAGACAUCGGAGCUUCAUUACAAUCCUUACUACGAAGUGGGUAAUCGUUAUAACGAUGGGAAGAUCAGUGAACUAGAGGCAGUGGUUGUGGCCCAGAGCUCAGAUCUUGAACAGGAUAAGGACACUGGAUUAGUGAAGCAAGCAGUGUCAUCCCUUUACAAGCGCAACAUACUGGGAUUGACUCACAAGUACUUGACCUUGUCGCUUCAAGAUAUUGUCAACAUGAUGGUCCAAACUGCUAAUGCUAAGGAGGCGGAAACGCAUGUGAUUCAGAUGAUACAGGAUGGUCAGAUACAUGCUCUUAUCAACCAGAAAGAUGGAAUGGUGAGAUUGUUGGAGGACCCUGAGCAGUACAAAACCAGUGAGAUGAUAGAGGUCAUGGUUUCUGUCAUCCAAAGGACAAUUGGGCUGUCGAAGAAUCUGCUAGCCAUGGAUGAGAGUUUGUCAUGUGAUCCUUUAUACUUGGGAAAGGUAACGUAGUGCCAUGUUUCAUAUAGACUGUUCUGUUCUCGCCUUUGUUUGAGAACUGUCAACAAACUAGUGAAUAAACGAGACGAGGACUCGUCAGUGGGGUUAGGAGAAGUCUUCAUGCUGAGCUUGAACCGGAUGGAGACGACUCGAAGAAAACGGUCAAGUGACGACUCUUCGGUCGAGUGAGGACUCGUCGGUCAAGUGAGGACUCGUCGGUCGAAGUACGGUCGAGUGACGAGAGAAAGAUUUGCGCUUGAAUGAACGAGACGAGGACUCGAAGAGAAUAAGACGAGGACUCGAAGAGAAUAAGAAAAAGGUGUUUAAUGAUCAAGCUGGACCCAGUGAAGGGUUGCCUACGUACCUUGAAAGGGGAUCAAGCCAAUCGUAGUUCUACAACAAAGGAUCACAAGUGCUUAGGUGAAAGCAUGUGGAAAGGUGUUUCUCUCUCUAGAAGUAGAGAGAGAUGGAUGAGAGACCAAAAGAGAGUCCAAGAUAGCCCUCUCAAAGGAGGUUGGAAGGGAAAGUCAAAGGUACGACUUCGGAGACGAUUUUGAUACUGCCCCUCAGAAGUUCUCCAUGUAAACAGCGAAAUAACCUGAAGGAGAGCAAAACUUGUCUCAAACUCUUGUUGCGAGAAUCUUCUUUUUUGCUGUUCUUUGUUCUUUUAUGAACUUUCAUAUAUUCGUUUGUUAUCGGUUUAGAUAGUCCUAAACCGAUAUUACAUUUGUACAGAAAACAUAACCCAACAUUCUUUUGUACCGAACCAAUAUAACCGAAAUUCAUAGAAAAUUAAUAUUUUUAGUUA